rnacentral:rRNA from 1 species
AUGGCCACAUCAUGUUGAAACACUGGUUCUCAUAUGAUCACCAAAGUUAAGCAAUAUCAAACCUGAUCAGUACCUAUAUGGGUGACUGUUUGGGAAUACCAGGUGCUGUAAG